UACGUAGGCAGCAAGCGUUGUUCGGAGUUACUGGGCGUAAAGGGUGCGUAGGUGGUUGUGCAAGUCAGCUGUAGAAUCCCUGGGCUUAACCUGGGAAUGUCAGCUGAGACUGUUCGAGCUGAGGUACGGAGGAGGCAGUGGAAUUUCGGUGUAGCGGUGAAAUGCGCAGAUAUCGGAAGGAACACCGGUGGCGAAGGCGGCUGCCUGGCCUGAUACUGACACUGAGGCACGAAAGCGUGGGUAGCAAACAGG
rnacentral:rRNA from 1 species